GUGAGUGAUCCUCUCUCUCUCUCUCUCUCUCUCUCUCUCUCUCUCUCACACACACACACACACACACACACACACACAGCUCAGGCUGAAGGCAACAUGAAGACAUCUUAUUCUGCUGAAGCUCAUUCAAAAGAGAUACAGGAUAAACACAAAUGCUCAGAGACAGCAGAGAAUAACAGAGAAAAACAAGGUAAACCUUUCAUGUAUGAAAAUUUAUUGUGCACCUGCUACAAUUAUAUUACUGAUAUUUACAUAUCUGAUUUAACAGUAAUGAAUGUGAUGAAUUAUCAUUGCAUUGAUGCAUUUGGCGUUAUUAUUCAAUAA
rnacentral:lncRNA from 12 species